CGUUUUGGUCCCCAGGCAGCCGCCGUACCCUAGUCUCCCAAAACCGGGAUUCCCCUUUGGCCAGCUCUCAUUCUUUCAUUUCUAAAGAUGGAGACCGGCGAUCGGUGCUAGGCUCUACGUUGAGCAGUGUUUCAUCGCGACAGAAUUCAGGAAUUUCACGAUAGAAGUAGCUUUAGGCGCUUGGGCCUUGCUGUCUCUUUGGGGCGUGGCCUGUCUCCGUCUGCCAAAGGCCUUGGGCUUGCUGGUGUUGGUCGGCCUCUGCUCGGUCCUGUCGUGACAGCCACGACACCAGGGGGGGGAAAAAGGCAAGUGGCCAGGUUUAUGGAGGACCUACGGUGUGCAGAGCCAGCGAAGCACCCUUUCUCGGUAUCUCCUGGUUUCGUGAGGUUCUCAGUGAAGAAACAGCCUCCCACCCCGCCUGAGUCCAGCCCAUCACCUCGAGGCCCACUCCUCCGCCAGCCCGGCCACUUCGCCGGCGCAGUUAGGCCCACACUCUUAGCGUGCUUGGGCACCUUAAGGAUAGGGACCGAGUGUCACUGGACGGAAUGUUGAGGGAACGAUCCCACCCGGCGUUCCCGGGAAGGCUCUGCGGGCCGGGCACCGUGCUCAGAGCUCCUGUUUUCUCCUUUAAGGACUGGAAAAGCAUCAAGGCAGGAUGGGGAAGGGUCCUCUGGCAAUGAAGGACAUUCAGAAGUAGUACUUCUCUUCACCCACUGAUCUCCAUCACCCAGGGAUUUACACUAAACAUUAAUGAAAAAAAGGAGAGCGUUGAGUGGGCCAAGGGAUUAGAAAAAAUGAUGCCCAUCUCCCUGAUGUUCACAGCACAAGAAGCCCCUUUCUUUCCAGUGCUGUCCCCAGGCUGAGACCCUGAGCAGAAGAAUACUGCCUGCAAAUAGAGCAACUAAGGAGGACGAGAAUGACUCAAUGCCAAGUCCCCCAGGACACGUGAGGGCCGCCAAAACCAACUACUGGGGAAAGGGUUGUCAUCUCUGUGGAGGUACUGGAGAAGUCGGGGGGCAAGUUAGGGGAGAGGAAAUAAGGCAAAGAUGAGCUCAAGGCCCCCAGAGAAUGGAGCCUUUGUGUGGGGUACAGAUGAGGGACAAGGGGGUGAUUGUGUGGGAGGGAUGGAAGUGCCACACAGACUGGCACUGCCAUAGCAGCACCAGAUUCCCCCCCACCCUGCUCUAAGAACUCCCUGUGCCCCAAGGGGCCAGCACCAGACAUGGCCAGGAGAAGCAGGGUAUACCUGAAGGUUGCAAAGGACAGAGGUGGAAAAGAGGACGGGUGG